rnacentral:rRNA from 1 species
ACUAGUGAUUUCCGUACGUGAACCUGCGGAGGGAUCAUUGACACGUAUUCAAUUUCAAACCACAACCUAACUGUGAGUUGACUGUCGUUUGGCUCACGCCUGCGACUUUCGCUCGAGGGUACUCAUCUGCGCAUACUGUUCGCCAUGUGCGGAGGUGAGUACCAACCGUUCACAUUUUAUCUCCAUGUUUACUAUGAUAAACCAUUGUAAUAUCUUUACAACUUUUAGCGAUGGAUCCCUCGGCUCGGAUAACGAUGAAGGACGCAGCAAAAUGCGAUAAGCGCUGUGAAUGGCAGAAUUCCGCGAAUCAAGAGAAUGCUGAACGCAUACUGCGCUUUCGGGUUACUACUCGAAAGCAUCUUCGGUUCAGGGCAUGUAUUCUAUACUGCAAUGUCUGCAGUAGCUUUGUGCUACGCAAGCAUUGACGUUUCUGUGUGUCAGCGACGUUUUUACCGUUGACACAUCAAAUUUAGUAGUUGGCUCCAACUAAGUGCCUUUCGCUUGGUGAUGAUCAUCCCGAUUUCAACUAGCGUCUCACUUGUUGUGGCAUUACACGACUACCCUAUGACUUGAGAGUGGUUUAUGCACUCUUCUGUAACUGCAUGAACUCGAGGAAGGCUACCCGGUGAAUUUAAGCAUAUCAA